rnacentral:rRNA from 1 species
UACGUAGGGUGCGAGCGUUAAUCGGAAUUACUGGGCGUAAAGUGUGCGCAGGCGGUUGAGCAAGUCGGAUGUGAAAUCCCUCGGCUCAACCAAGGAAGUGCAUCCGAAACUGCUGAGCUUGAGUACUUAAGAGGAUCGCGGAAUUCCCGGUGUAGAGGUGAAAUUCGUAGAUAUCGGGAGGAACACCAGUGGCGAAGGCGGCGAUCUGGGAAGAUACUGACGCUGAGGUGCGAAAGCGUGGGGAGCAAACAGG